rnacentral:rRNA from 1 species
UGAGUAACCUGCCCUUCACUCUGGGAUAACUCCGGGAAACCGGGCUAAUACUGGAUAUGACUCGAACAGGCAUCUGUUUCGGGUGGAAAGAUUUAUUGGUGGAGGAUGGACUCGCGGCCUAUCAGCUUGUUGGUGAGGUAAUGGCUCACCAAGGCGACGACGGGUAGCCGGCCUGAGAGGGUGACCGGCCACACGUGGGACUGAGACACGGCCCAGACUCCUACGGGAGCA